rnacentral:rRNA from 1 species
GGAGGGUGCGAGCGUUAUCCGGAAUUACUGGGUUUAAAGGGUGCGUAGGCGGCCAUGUAAGUCAGGAGUGAAAGUUUGCGGCUCAACCGUAAAAUUGCUUUUGAUACUGCAUGGCUGGAAUCAGGAUGAGGUCAGCGGAAUGUGGCAUGUAGCGGUGAAAUGCAUAGAUAUGCCAUAGAACACCAAUUGCGAAGGCAGCUGGCUAGACCUGGAUUGACGCUGAGGCACGAAAGCGUGGGGAGCGAACAGGAUUAGAUACCCUGGUAGUCCACGCCCUAAACGAUGCUUACUCGACGUGCGAGGCUUGUCCUGGUGCGUCCAAGGGAAACCGUUAAGUAAGCCACCUGGGGAGUACGACCGCAAGGUUGAA